rnacentral:rRNA from 1 species
GUGGGGAAUUUUGGACAAUGGGCGCAAGCCUGAUCCAGCAAUGCCGCGUGCAGGAAGAAGGCCUUCGGGUUGUAAACUGCUUUUGUACGGAACGAAACGGUCCGGGUUAAUACCCUGGGCUAAUGACGGUACCGUAAGAAUAAGCACCGGCUAACUACGUGCCAGCAGCCGCGGUAAUACGUAGGGUGCAAGCGUUAAUCGGAAUUACUGGGCGUAAAGAGUGCGCAGGCGGUUUUGUAAGACAGGCGUGAAAUCCCCGGGCUCAACCUGGGAAUUGCGCUUGUGACUGCAAGGCUGGAGUGCGGCAGAGGGGGAUGGAAUUCCGCGUGUAGCAGUGAAAUGCGUAGAUAUGCGGAGGAACACCAAUGGCGAAGGCAAUCCCCUGGGCCUGUACUGACGCUCAUGCACGAAAGCGUGGGGAGCAAACAGGAUUAGAUACCCCAGUAGUCC